GGGGAUUUAGCUCAGUGGUAGAGCACUUGCCUAGCAACCGCAAGGCUCUGGGUUCGGUCCCCAGCUCCA
rfam:Rattus norvegicus chromosome 15, whole genome shotgun sequence.